rnacentral:lncRNA from 1 species
UUUGUUAUGAUAUUUGUUUUUGUAAUUAUUAUUUCCUGUACAUACUAACUCUUUUGCUUUACUCUACAAUCAUGCAUUUGCAUCAUGCAUUCAUCACAUAGGAUAUCUGCCACGUGACGAUACAUGAUGAAAACGACUUUUGUUACAUUCAUGGAAUGCUCACCAUUUGAUUUGAAGCUCCAAUCAAAAGAAACACAACAAAAAGAGGGUGAUUGCUUGGUCGAUGGCUAUAUUUCCACUCUCAUUGAGAAGAUUCAUCUCGAUCUUCAACAAAAUGAUCCUUCUGAAUUGCUUAAAAUAUGGGGUUGUGGAAAAAAUCUGAAUAAUUCGAGCUAUAAUGUAGUUUUGGGAUCCUUCGUAUAGACUCUUUGUCUUCAAUGAGGUGGAUAUGACCCCAACUAUCAAAGAAUAUGCAAUUUUACUUGGUCUGAAUACCUCUGAUUUAUGUAAAGUAUAUUAGAGAAAGAGAAAGCCUGUUAGUUGCAAAACACUUACAAGAAUAAUGCAGAUCAAUCCAUAAGAAGUGAAUGCAAAUCAAAUUCAUAAAGGAGAAAGUAUUUGCAUAUCAUGGACUUUUCUUCGAGACUUUAUCAUGAAGCAUUUAGAGGAUGAACAAGGUAUGAGUAUGAUGGCUCUAGCAAUCUACAGGUUGAUGAUUUUUCCAAAGGUGUUGGGACACAUUGAAAUGAGAAUCAUUGACUUUUUUGAACAAAUUGAAAAUGGAAUUCAUCCUCCAUCAGCAAUUCUUGUAGAAACCUUUAAAUCCUUAAACUAUUGUUGACAACAUGGCAAAGGGCGUUUUAUCGGAUGUGCAUAACUCCUAUUUAUGUGGUUUCAAAGUCAUUUCAAAUGUGAGAAAAAUACCUUUUGUAAGCCUUAUCUUGAAGCUGCUCCUAUUUUAGAGUUUUGUAAAAGUCGAUGGCCUAAGAAGAGUAGUCCAAAGCAGAGUGGGUUUCAAGGCUUCAACAUUUCACUAGUACAGAAGUAGUAGGGAGAGCACCUUGGAUGUAUUGAGAAUCCAUGGUAUACAAAUGUGGAGACAACCCAUGGGUUUCACUUUUGGGGCCUUGAGGAGCGAUAAGUUAUGCUCCAAUCAUGGUACGAAGGCAAUUCAGAAAUGAAAAAUUCAUCCCAAUGAUGCAUAAGCUCAAUUAGCUUAAGCCCUCUUACAGCCAGCCAAGGACAACAAAGAAGACCAACGAAAUUAUUAAAGCAUGGACACAAGCACAAAAAGUAAAUCCAGGAAGGUUGGUUGACAAGUUACUUUUGGGUAUUUAACAUGUUAACGAUGUCGAGUCAAAUGAAUGGUACUUCCAUCAGAGCCUAAUAGUACUAAUAACAUUGAAGCAAGGGCUAAUGGAUCAUCAUGUUGUAG